AAGAGAUAAAAUAGCUUGCAAUCAAAAAGCACAUAGGUCAAGAAAUUUUGAGAAAAAUGUAUGUGACAAAGCCUCUUCUAUGUUAAAAAAAAUCUCCUUCUUCUCUGUCAUCGCCUCUCCAGAAGGUCCAAAUUCUGGUAUUUUGGUAAUCCAAGAUGAAAGGCCACUUCUUGUUUUGGACUGUGCGAGGAUGAUCAACUAAAAAGCUGCCUUUCCCUCAAACAAGAACCUAACUACCUUCUUUACUACUUCUAAGGGACUGGUGCCGUAGUCAUCAACAACCCUGUAUUCUCAUUCAGUUAUUGAAAACCACUAUCUUCGAAUCAGUACUAUGCAAUUCAACCACGUGGCAAGCAUAAAGGGGAAGCAUUCACAAAACUCAAAGGAGGAGGACAAGGCCACAUGCUGUUGCUGCAGCUUUGUUUCCGAUAAAAAGCCGCAGCCUUUUGAUCCCGACAACAUUUAUCAGCAAAUUGAGAUUUGGCUCAAAACGGGGUGGUGGCUUUUGCCAAAUCAGUGGUUCCAGAUGGUUUUCCACCAGAUUUCUUGAGAAGAAAAGGUUGGGGAAUGACAGCAGAAACUAGUGAUGAUUUCGAGUUAAGUGAAGCAACAGGCCUUGAUUCUACCUCCGUGCGCGCCUUCCAGAUUUCAACUUCCCAUUACCAAAUAAGGUUUCUAAACCUGUGGCUGUGGGAAAAUGGUAUUGUCUUUCAUAUUUAUUGAAGAAAGUAGUCUAAAACAGCAAAUAAAAAACUCAAUGUACUAUGAGCUGACACUUGAGCAAAGAUGGGAACAAAUAUUUGCAAGUGAAAAUAGUCAUAGCAGGGAGAAUGGUGUGGUUGUGGAUGUUGUUGUUCCAACAGAAGUGGUGUCAUUGGUGGGUUGAGGGUGUGCCUGAUGAGAAGAAUGUGGUUGAUGGGAUGAUGUGGUUUAAAAGUUCUAUCAACGCGGGAGGGAGAACUAAGUGUGGGUUUGAGUACACUUAUCAUUGAGAGAAUGAAAUGGGAGGAAGAAAGAUUUGGGGGGGGUAGGAACUGGAAACAGGUGAGAGUGAAGAAAGUAGAAGAGUUUGGAGGAGUGGUGAGUGGAGGAACUUUGGUUGUAUGUAUUGGUUGAGAGAUUCAAAUUGAAGGAGAUGGACGGGAGCUUGGUUUUACUUAUGAUUUAAGCACACACAUCAGAUUAGGAGCAAAUGGGAAUGAUAAUUUUGGCAGUCUUUUGUUACAGCCUGAAGUUCAACUUUGUCCUGUUUCGGUGUGUAGAUACUACGGUGAGUGAGAGAAUGUUGAACAUUAUUAUUUAUAUGUGUAUGUUUGAUUGUAAAGUAGUGAACGAUGAAGAGUUAAUUUAUCUCUCGGUGUCUGUACACACAAAUCUUAUAAAAUAAGAUGGAUAUUGUCAUUUGAAAAUGGUUCUAUUGUUCUAUUAAUAAAGGGAAUCAAUACAGAGAGUUUGUA